UGGGGAAUAUUGCGCAAUGGGGGAAACCCUGACGCAGCAACGCCGCGUGAGUGAUGAAGGCUUUCGGGUCGUAAAACUCUGUCAUUGGGGAAGAAAAAAAUGACGGUACCCAAUGAGGAAGCCCCGGCUAACUACGUGCCAGCAGCCGCGGUAAUACGUAGGGGGCAAGCGUUGUCCGGAAUUAUUGGGCGUAAAGGGUGCGUAGGUGGCCUGAUAAGUCAGAUGUGAAAUACCGAGGCUCAACCUCGGAGGUGCAUUUGAAACUAUUAGGCUUGAGUGCAGGAGAGGAAAGUGGAAUUCCUAGUGUAGCGGUGAAAUGCGUAGAGAUUAGGAGGAACACCAGUGGCGAAGGCGACUUUCUGGACUGUAACUGACACUGAGGCACGAAAGCGUGGGGAGCAAACAGG
rnacentral:rRNA from 2 species